AUUGAACGCUGGCGGCAGGCCUAACACAUGCAAGUCGAGCGAGCGGCGGACGGGUGAGUAAUGUCUGGGAAACUGCCUGAUGGAGGGGGAUAACUACUGGAAACGGUAGCUAAUACCGCAUACCAUCAGAUGUGCCCAGAUGGGAUUAGCUAGUAGGUGGGGUAACGGCUCACCUAGGCGACGAUCCCUAGCUGGUCUGAGAGGAUGACCAGCCACACUGGAACUGAGACACGGUCCAGACUCCUACGGGAGGCAGCAGUGGGGAAUAUUGCACAAUGGGCGGCAGCCUGAUGCAGCCAUGCCGCGUGUGUGAAGAAGGCCUUCUGAUUGUAAAGUAAUUGCAGCGGGGAGGCGUUACCCGCCGCAGAAGCACCGGCUAACUCCGUGACAGCAGCCGCGGUAAUUC
rnacentral:rRNA from 1 species